GGAUGACUGACAAGAGGGUUCACUCGGUUUCUUUCACACCGCAAAGAGUGAACCUUCUCGCAGCCUGUUUGGAAGCGCAAGACGAACAAAAAGGCCCGAGAACUGAAAGUGGAGAAUGGCAAAGGGGGAGCUGUCCAAGCGGUGUCCAUCAACGGCUUAAGUUCUGUGGAGCAAAGUCAGUCUGAUGCAUCUGAUGAGCAGAGUCAGGAGCGAGUCACAACUAACACUUUCGACAUGAAGCCACCGGAUGAUGAUGAUGAUAUCUGCGCUUCCAUCCUGUUGGCCUGUCUGUUCUGCAACCCCAUGGACUGUUUAGUGGCCACAGUGAGCGGGUGUAACCAAUGCUUUUGGUCGCUGUGCUCCACGCUCUUCUGCUGCCAGUCCGCUACUCUGCAGCCUCUCCUGGACGCCAGCCAACACUGUGACGCGUGCA